AGUUUGUAUACCGCUGUUGUCAGUCAGUUUCUUUAGAAAGCUUUCUAUCAUGAAAAAAUCAUAGACUUCAAGUAAAGGUGCAGCUUAUGUAAAAGAUAGAGGUGGGUUACAUUUAUUAGAUUAAAACGGAUAAAGUUUAUGAAAUAACUUUUUAAGGUGGAUUUAAUUGUAAGGUUUAAGAAAACUUGAUGUGAGCUCUAUCUUGUGUACAC
rnacentral:rRNA from 1 species